GGAGCCUUGGCGCAAUGGUAGCGCGUUGGUUUUCGGCUGAAAACAUCUAUUCACCAAAGGUUGUGGGUUCGGUAAGUUAUUCUCCAAGCUCCA